UCUGCCACUCAAGCGAUGCGGAUUUUUGUAGUUGUGUUUUGACACUUUUGUUCAAAGUGGUUUAAGGAUAUGUUGGUUCGCGGUGUUUGUAAGUGACGGGUGCGAUUUUGAGGUUGAGUGAUGAGAUUUUUGGGUUUUUUUUUUGUUGGUUUUUGGUGUGUGCGACGCAUGGGUGGCUCAUUUAACAGCUAGUUGAUUGCAUGUCAGCCAACUGUUUUUUCUCUUGCCACAUUUUAUUUUAUUUUUUAAAAAAAUGUUCUUAUUUUGUUAUUUCUUUCUUUUUCAUUUUUCUGUUCUUUCCUCAAUUGGUUUUCUUUUUCGUUUUGCUUUCUUUCAUGUGUUUGCUUUCUUGUCUGCUCGGCUUGGUUAGAGAAGAGCAAAGAGAGGGAGCGGGAUUUCAUAGUAGAGCGUGGUUAGAGAAAGGCAAGGGAUAGGGAGUGAGAUUUCAUAGCAGAGAGUAUUGGAGCUUAUGUGUGUUUCAUUAAUUAAUUCAGCAGCGUACUCAAGCUUAUACUAUGUGCUUUUACAAAUUUGUAUAGAUUUAUUCCUUCACAUAAGUUUUGCUGUUAUAUUACAAAUUCUUGCAAUUUUAUGUUUUUGUAUUUUAUGUAUUUUUUGAGUUGGAAAUUAUGCCUAACGAUAUAUCUUUGUUAUUUGUGGUUAAAUGCAUUAUGUAAUUUUUGUU